UGAGUAACACGUAUCCAACCUGCCGUCUACUCUUGGACAGCCUUCUGAAAGGAAGAUUAAUACAAGAUGGCAUCAUGAGUCCACAUGUUCACAUGAUUAAAGGUAUUCCGGUAGACGAUGGGGAUGCGUUCCAUUAGAUAGUAGGCGGGGUAACGGCCCACCUAGUCUUCGAUGGAUAGGGGUUCUGAGAGGAAGGUCCCCCACAUUGGAACUGAGGCACGGUCCAA
rnacentral:rRNA from 1 species